GAAAAAUUUCUGUUGCCUAGUGACAACCUGAUGAUUCUGAUGCUACUAUGUGUAUGUCUUAGUUUUAACUAAAAAAAUUAAAAAGUUUUAAAAAAGAAAAAAUUUUAAAAUAGAUAAGGAUAUAAAGAAAAUAUUUUUAUACAACUAUACAAUGUGUGCUGUAGGCCAUUAUUAUAGAAAGAGUCAAAAAGUUUAAACAUUUAAAUGUUUAUAAAAUAAAAAUGUUAUAGUAAGUUAAGGUUAACUUGUUUUUGAAGAAAGAAAAAUAUUUUAAAAUAAAGGUAGUGUAACCUAAGUGUGCAAUGUUUACACCUACAGUAGUGUACAGUAAUGUUUUAGGCCUUCACAUUCACUCACUGUUCACACAUAGACUCACCCAGGACAACUUCCAGCCCUGCAAGCUUCAUUCAUGGUAAGUGGCCUAUAUACCACAUUUUUACUCUCCCUUUACUACCUUUUGAUAUGUUUAAAUACACAGAUACUUACCAUUGUUUUACAGUUGCCUACAUUAUUCAGUACAAUAAUGUGCUGUACAAGUUUGUAGCCUAGGAGCAGUAGGCUAUAGCAUAUAGCCUAGGUGUAUAAUAGGCUUAUACCAUCCAUGUUUGUUUAAGUGUGCUCUGUGAUGUUCACACAAUGAUGUAAUUACCUAACAACUCAUUCUCAGAGUAUGUCCCUGUUGUUAAGCCAUGCAUAAUUGUAUUUAAAGUGAGUUUUUUGGGAGUCCCAGGUGAGAGGAUUGCUUGAGGCUGGGAGUUUGAGACCUGGCCAACAUGGUAAAACCCCAUCUUUACCAAAAAUAUAAAAAAUUAGCUGGUUGUGGUGGCGCAUGCCUGUAAUCCCAGCUACUCAGGAGGCUGAGGCAAGAAAAUCGCUUGAAUCUGGGAGGUGGAGGUUGCAGUGAACCAAAAUUGGGCCACUGCCCUCCAUCCUGGGGUGACAGAGUGAGACUCCAUCUCAAAAAAAAAAAAAAAAGAGACAGGGUCUCACUAUAUUGGCCAGGCUGGCCUGAAACUCCUGACCUCAACCAUUUCUCCUACUGCAGCCUCCCUAAAUGUUGAGAUUACAAGUGUGAGCCAUCAUGCCUGGCCAAUAAGUAGGCAUUAUUAUUGUCCUCAUUAUUUAGAGAUAAGUAGGGACCUAUAUUGAUUGCUCAAAGUUACACAGUAACUAGCAGAAUUAGGACUGGAACCUAGGUAUGUCUGAAUACAAUCUUGCUAUUGUCUACUAUGUAUAUUGUCUGAAAGUUAUUGCCACAUGCUAUUUGUUGAAUGAAUAAAUUAACAGGAAAAGAUCACAGGUGAUUCUGAAAUUUCUACCUUGUGGGAACUGAGAAUGAUCAAGGCCUUUUUCAGAAUUUCAUUGAUGCUAGAUACAUUUAUAUUUGUAGGUCCUAUCCCAUAUUAAAGUGUGUCUGUAUCCCACAUCAAGUAUUAUUUUUUUUCUGCUGAAAAAGAUAUUGAAAGGAUUUUUAAAAAUUUCUUUAGAAACCAUUUGGCUACAUGCACUCAAGUUAUUAUAGGAUUUGAUUUCAUGGCAGUCGCAGUGCAUGGGUGGAAUGUUUCCAAAGUGAGAAACUUGCACUUACGAAUUAUUUUCAAAUGUAAUAAAAUGUUUAUAAAUACCAGUGUAUUAGUUCAGUACGGCCUAAGCUGCUAUAACAAAGAGACUUCUUAGUACAGUGAGAGUAAGGGCUAGUAGGCAGGAUUCUACCUCAGCAUCCACUCCAGCUCUUGCCUUAAGGUCUGCAUCACAGCCAGGGACAAAGCAGCCACAUUCACAAUGACAAAGAGCAUCAUUUGCACAGACUGCAGUGCUCAUGUGCCCACUGGAGUUGUCCAUAGUAGUAACUCUCACAAGUGUGUAGGGAGAAAGAUGAAGAAGAGCUCAUCCCCUACUGCACAACCAAAAGUGGCAGGUAUCACUUAUACUCACUUCCCAUGGUCAGAACUUAGUCACAUGACCACAUCUAGCUUCAAAAGAGGCUGGAAGUGUAGUCUUUUACUGAGUGACCCUUGCACCUACCUAAAACCUAGUUCUACUUAUAAAGGAAGAAGGGGAUAUAUAGUAGUCAUUAUCAUAAUUAAAUUGCAUAAACAAGUAAUGAAGUUGGUAUAAAUUUAUGUUGGUAGACAUUUAAUUUUUAAAAGUUUAUUGCUUUUGACUUUAUGGUUUUUUGUAUUUUGGUUGUUAAAAAAAAAAGUGGGAGGGUUGUUCUUAAACUUUUUUUUUUAGGCCCUUGAAAAGUUUGUCAGCUCCAAGUGCUGUGCCUAAUGGAUACACAAUCUCUGUGGAUCAUGAGGCCACUAAUCAGAGAAGGAAUGCAGGGUGGCUGUGAUUGCUCUCUGCUUGGUCCCCCUUAUAGGUAGGAAGGCAGCCCCUAUGAACUGGGUAGGCUAGAUUCAGUAUGCAAUUUGUGGGGCUAAGGGAGUGUAGACACUCGAACAAAUAUUAACUAAUCCUUACGUAGCUGGGGUUAUAGUCCAUGGGGCUGAGGGUGGGACAGGAAGCAGGGAGAGGCAGGGAGAAGGGAAUAACAACUAGAAUGAGACUCAGUGCCAAGAAAUUGGUAAGGAAGACAAAAUAACAUGAACAAACAUGCACAAUGAUAGGUUUCAGAGCAGAUUAUGAAAGUCAUUGUGAGUCAUCGGUGGUAGUGGUGGUGUUUAAAAGAAACAGUGUCUAGAUAACGCUGGGCUCUGAAGGAAAAAGAGGUUGGAUUACACAAGGUCCUGCCUCAGGACAUCUACAGUUUAUAAAUAAAUAUGCCCAAAAUGGGGAAAGUAACUCUAAUGACCUGUUUCCUGUAGAAGAUGCUCCAGCCCAAGAACUGUCCUGGUAUAAAGUAGGAGCCAUUAGUAGGCAGGCCGGGAAUCUAGGUUCAUGUUUGGCCUCUAUCACUAUUUAUUUGAGAAUGUGAGCUCCUUUGAAGUAGGUAAUGCAUAGUUUCAUCUGUGGAUCCUCACCUAGCCUAGUGCCUGGCACUUACUAAGUUCUUAGUAAAUUCUUACAGAAUCAAUGAACAAUUUGUUUAAUAACUUGCUGCGUAUCCUUGAACUGAGACCUUUUACCAGGGGUCUUAAACCUAAAAGGAAACUGUGGGUCAGGGUGGCCUCCAGGUCCCUAGUGACCUCAAAUUUUCAGGAUAUGAGGAUUGAUAUUUGGCUACUGUCACACUAAGAAGUGCACUUCAUAGCAUGCAAAAUCAAAUCUGAACUCAACCCACACAUCUCAGCUCAAAGACUGCUUCCGCCACAAUGCCUCCCCUACCCCUUCUCUCAACAAAUUGUGCCUCUGCUGACACUCUUCUACCUUGGUUAUUCUCAGUUGAGUUCAUUACCUUUCCUUACCCCCUCAGGCCUGUGACCUGAGAACACACAGUAAAAGCUAACACUUAGGUAAAAUUUACUGUGUGUCAGGUGCUCUAAAGGGCUUAAAAUCAUCAGUGCAUUUAAUAUCUUGGUGACCCAGAAAGUAGGUGCUAUGAUUAUCCUCAUUUCAGAGAUGAGAAAACUGAGGUACAGAGUAAGUAACUUUCUUACCGUUAGGCUGCUAGUGAGUGGCAGGGACAAGAUUCAAAUCUGGGUAGCAAUCUCCAGAGUCCAUAACCAGUUCCCUGUCUUGUUCAUCUUUAAAUACCCCAUAAUAAACAUCCCAUGGUCAGCACAUAGUAAGUGUGCAGUAAAUGUUUGCCAAAUAAAUGAAUAAACAAAUGCAGUAAACUAGGAAGCAAGGUAUCAGAAGGGCAUGGAGUUCCCCCAAAUACCCAUCUGCCUGUUGGGUGUCUUAACCUUUCCCCAACAUAUUGAGUUAGUUUGUUGGUCCAUCCAUCCACUCACUUGUCCAUCCAUCCAUUCAAUGACUAGUUACUGUCCUAACCACCUCCCCACCACCCCACAUUGGGACCAGGGAUACAAAACUGAAUUGGCACAGACAGAUGGACUUAUUCACAGACAAUGGCAGUACAGCAUCACAUGAGCUACACAGAAGACAGAGCCACUAACUCUGCCCAGGCAGGGUCAGGGAACACUUUUUAGUCUAUGGGACAGAGAUUCAACCUGGAUUUUUUAAAAUCUGUCUCCAGGUCCCUGGUGGGCCAGGGUCCUCCCUGACCCCAGCCCAUAUAGCUGGAGACAGAAUAGCCUGUCCUCCCAGCUGCUGGCUGCAAAUUUGCCUUGGGGAGUCCAUAGCUCUGUCCAUGGUCUGAAUACUGGUGCUCUUGCCAGCUGCCAUGCCCCUAGAUUAAGCCAUAUGUUUUGGAUCCUGGUUCUGAGUGUUGACCCUGAGCCUUUAGUGCCAGGCUCACAGCCAAGCAUAGGCCACUUGCCAGAUCCUUUCAGGUCUCUCCCUUUUAGCUGGGGGUGCAGGGGGUGGGGUGAGGGUGGGAGGACAUAUGGCAUAUCCCUAGGCAUGUGCUAAGAUACAGACCUGGGAUCUGGUGAUUGCCAGUUUCAUUGACCCCUUCCUCAGCCUCUAAGGAAAUUCAGGCCAGACUAAGAAAGGACUCAGGCUGGAGCAGGUCCCUGAGGGCUCAACCACACUUGUAUAUAUUCUGCCUGUCAGAGCUGGCCUGGCCCCAGAUACCAUCUAGGUCCCUGCCUAUCCUGAGGCUCUGGAAUGGGCAUACAGUGAAAGAGACAGACCUGGACUUCAGGGCUCCUGAUCCCAGUCUGACAUUUGUUCCACUACAAAAAGGGGGUCUGGAAUUCAUUUUCAGUAAUGAAGGCUUUCUCAAUGAAAUUUUAACCAUUAUAUAAAGGAGAACGGCUCGCCUGAAGUAGAGUUAGGGCAUCCAAAAGAUCACUGUCUUGGCCUCUGCCUCCCUUUCUCAGCCUUUAAGUCACUUCUAAUAAACCUAUCUCAUUUUUUACCAUUAGAUCUCAACAGUGGAAGUUGGUCCAGUGAGGUCCUAAGCCUUUGCGGAAAUGGCAGCUACUUCCCUCCGGCCUGUUUCACCCAUUUCGUUCACCUUCCUCACUAGAACCAGAGACCUUUCAAAAACCUAGGUCUGUCUUUGCUACCCUCCAGUUUAAAAACAUCCAUUUCGCAGGACUUGGUGUCUCAUUCCUUUAAUCCCAGUGCUUUGAGAGGCUAAGAUGGGAGGAUUGCUUGAAGCUAGGAUUUCGAGACCAGCCUGGGUGGCAUAGGGAGACCCCGUCUCUACAAAAUUUUUCUUUUUAAUUAGCCAGGUGUGGUGGUGUGUGCCUGUAGUUCCAGCUACUUGGGAGGCUGAAGUGAGAAGAUCACUUAAACCCAGAAAUUUGAGGCUGCAGUGAGCCAUCACCACAUCACUGCACUCUAGCCUGAGUGACAGAGCAAGACCCUAUCUCAAACACCAGAAAUAAACAAAUUCAUUUGUCCAACAAUAUUUACAUAAGGAGGAUUAUAUUCAUUGCACUUCUAGCUCCUUUGAUUGUGGCAGGAACGGAAGUAGGAGCUAGAAGUGCAAUGAAUAUGACAGUCCUUGCCUGUUUGUGGUGGUAGGGGAGCCAAAAAAUCUGGUGACAAUAAAAUAAAGUACUAAACAGAGUCUGGUGAUAGAGCCUAAAACAGGAGAGUGGUCUGAGGAGGCUGAAGGACAAGCCAGUGCCAUCCAGGAGAAAACUGUUCAGCCAGAGAUAAGAGCCUGUGUUAAGGUUUAGGGUGGCAGCUUUAGGAAAACAGAAGGUUCAGUGAUGGUGCUGUGAAAUGAGACCAGAGAGAUACACAGAGGCCAGGCCAUGGAAAACCCUAAAGAUCACUUCCAGGUUGUUGGUCUGCAUCUUAAAGAGCAAAGGGAAUACGAUUGAAUGGUUUUAAAUGAGAUAGUGACAAAAUGCCGUUUUUGUUUUAAGAUCAAGCUGGUUAUGUGAAGAACAGGCUGGAGGAAGGCAAGAGUAAAGGCAGAGAGGCCUAUUAAUAAGACAUUGAUGGCUGGGCAUGGUGGCUCAUGUAUGUAUAAUCCCAGCACUUUGGGAGGUGGAGGCUGGAGGAUAGCCUGAGCCCAAGAGUUCGAGACCAGCCUGGGCAACAUAGUGGAACCCCAUCUGUACAAAAAAUAAAGGUAAAAAAAUAGCCAGGUGUGAUGGUGCAUGCCUGUGGUCCCAGCUACUUGGGAAGCUGAGGCAAGAGGAUCUAUUGAGUCCAAGAGGUUGAGGCUGCAGUGAAAUGUGUUCAUACCACCGAACUGUAGCCUGGGACAACAUAACAAGACCUUGUCUCAAAAAAAAAAAAAAAAAA
rnacentral:lncRNA from 1 species